AUGCCGCGGUGAAUACGUUCCCGGGCCUUGUACACACCGCCCGUCACACCACGAGAGCUUGCAACACCCGAAGUCGGUGAGGUAACCCGCAAGGGAGCCAGCCGCCGAAGGUGGGGCAAGUGAUUGGGGUGAAGUCGUAACAAGGUAGCCGUACCGGAAGGUGCGGCUGGAUCACCUCCUUUCU
rnacentral:rRNA from 4 species